rnacentral:tRNA from 38 species
GGUGAUUAGCUCAGCUGGGAGAGCACCUCCCUUACAAGGAGGGGGUCGGCGGUUCGAUCCCGUCAUCACC